UGCCAGCCGCCGCGGUAAUACGGAGGGUGCAAGCGUUAAUCGGAAUUACUGGGCGUAAAGCGCACGCAGGCGGUUUGUUAAGUCAGAUGUGAAAGCCCCGGGCUCAACCUGGGAACUGCAUUUGAUACUGGCAAACUAGAGUAUGGGAGAGAGAAGUAGAAUUCCACAUGUAGCGGUGAAAUGCGUAGAGAUGUGGAGGAAUAUCAGUGGCGAAGGCGGCUCCCUGGCCAAAGACUGACGCUCAUGUACGAAAGCGUGGGUAGCAAACAGGAUUAGAUA
rnacentral:rRNA from 1 species